GAUGAACGCUGGCGGCGUGCCUAAUACAUGCAAGUCGAGCGAACAGAUAAGGAGCUUGCUCCUUUGACGUUAGCGGCGGACGGGUGAGUAACACGUGGGUAACCUACCUAUAAGACUGGGAUAACUUCGGGAAACCGGAGCUAAUACCGGAUAACAUUUGGAACCGCAUGGUUCUAAAGUGAAAGAUGGUUUUGCUAUCACUUAUAGAUGGACCCGCGCCGUAUUAGCUAGUUGGUAAGGUAACGGCUUACCAAGGCAACGAUACGUAGCCGACCUGAGAGGGUGAUCGGCCACACUGGAGCUGAGACACGGUCCAGACUCCUACGGGAGGCAGCAGUAGGGAAUCUUCCGCAAUGGGCGAAAGCCUGACGGAGCAACGCCGCGUGAGUGAUGAAGGGUUUCGGCGCGUAAAACUCUGUUAUUAGGGAAGAACAAACGUGUAAGUAACUGUGCACGUCUUGACGGUACCUAAUCAGAAAGCCACGGCUAACUACGUG
rnacentral:rRNA from 1 species